AGAAGGAAAAUGGCGGAAAGAAAAGAUAUAAAUAGUGAGAGAAAGAAAAUUCUAGAGAGAGAGGGAGGUAACCGCCGCUCCAGCCACGAGGAGUCCGGUUCCGGCCGAGCCUUCUUCAUGAAAUCUUCACAGAACUUAGAGGAGAACAUUCUUAACUUUUAGAUCGUCCAAAAACAUCAAGAAACGAGGAAAAAUCUAAAGAGGAUUACGCUCAAAACCUGUGAAGGAAGUUGUAAUCGAUUCAGACCGGAAAAUGGGAGUUUCGGCAUUCGUCAAAGAGGUAGGUAUUGAUGUUUCUUGCCCUUUUCGGACUAAGGUAAUUAUCCCGGGGAUUAGAAAUAAAUUACAAGAAAAAUACCUGCCUAAAGAUGAAUAUACGCCCUACAAAUCUCGUGAAGGAACCAUGUUGAUCCGAGUUAGGUAGAACGAAAUGUGAAAAUGGAAAAAAGUAAUCGAACGCUGGAAAUCGCAGGAGAAAGGAGGAGGAGGAUGCGCUUCGCCGGAGAAGAAGGGCCACGUGUCAAGCGUCCAUUGGAGGCGAAGAAAUCAAAGAAAUACUUCGCGUCGGGCGGGGUUCGAUGGCCGGCGGCCCGCUACUCGAGUUCGCGACCCGAUGACCCGCGCGCAACCCGGACCACCGACCCGGCUUCUCGUUGCCACGCGUCAGCGUAAAAGAACUCGAAUUUCCAGCGCGCCCUUCCGGUUUCGAACCGACGACCUCGACCUCGGCUGACCGUCCAGCGGGCGUCACGUGGCAACACCUCAGCGCGCGUCUUCCCUCCCUCAUGCGCGUCCGUGCGCGUGUAGCACCUUCCCACGCGCGUGUGGUGCUGUUUUCAGCCCGUUCGACCUCUGUUUGCCCGAUUUCCCUCCCGAUUCCAACUCUAACCAUAUUUUUAUAUGGAAUAGGGCUUAAAUGAGAAAAUUCAGUAUUUGUGGACACUCUAUUGGUGUAGAAAUGCUCAACGAAGAACACAUGUCAAUCAGGUGCCGGUCAAGGUGGAGGAGCGUUCGAGAGCUGUGCGGUCACAGAGGGGGUCGUUCCGGAGCGUCAAUCCCUUGUCAGUCUUUCGAGUCUUUUGUGUUUCAUUUUACAUUUGUAAUUUCCUUUGUAAUAUUUUCCAAACAAAUCUUAUUUGACUUUAAUUUUGGUGUGUUGACUCAUUUUUCUUGAUUUAAAUUUUAUCAGAUUUUCAUCUCCCAUUUUAUCUUCUUUUAAAUUUUAUUUGUUUUCGAUUUUGUCUUUUGAGUCACGGUCUGAUUUUCGAAGCCUCGAAAAUCGGGUCUUGACAAUCCUACCCAAAAGAUGGUUUGAGACCUUCAACAUUAAUUGUGUGCAAAAGUCGUUGAUCGUUGCCUAUAUCUGUUUUGUACAAGCAGCGAGAUGCUACUUGGUGCAUGUUUAGAUAACCUGGGUCAAUGCUUCGUUCUUUUUCCUCGAGGGGAGUAUUUGCUUGUGCAGGUUCUAUGUGCGGGAAAGGAUUUAGCAACAGAGAAAAGUGCUAGCCGAAUGACUAGUUUGAUGAGACAGAUGCAACAGAGUUUACCGCCUUCUACUUUAGCCUCAACUUGGUCCUACUUGCGACCCCAGCACCAACUUGCUUUGCCGUCUAUCCUCUCAUAGUCUCUCAAAGGUGACUCUGGAUCCUGCCGCUGCCCCCGGGCGGCACACUUUUCUGUUCUUGUUUAUGUUUGAAUUAUAUUCGUCCCCAUUCUUUGCCAAAAAAUGCUCUCAAGCAUGAGUUUUGUUUGGUCCCUUGCAGAGAGAUGCUGUCAUUUGAUGAUAGUGAAAAUCAGGGUUCGUUACGAUUUUUUUCUAGUUUCGGGUAGAUAGGUCGGAGGCAAUCCUUUUACAGUUCUGUCUUGGUCCAAUUAACUAGUAUCAUUGUCAUUAUAAAUUUUCAUUGCAGUUUCAGAAUAUAUCAAAUGAAUUUUGUGAUUGUGUUUC